rnacentral:rRNA from 1 species
CUUUCAACAACGGAUCUCUUGGUUCCGGCAUCGAUGAAGACCGCAGCGAAAUGCGAUAAGUAAUGUGAAUUGCAGAAUCCAGUGAAUCAUCGAAUCGUUGAACGCACAUUGCGCCCCCCGGCAUUCCGGGGGGCA